rnacentral:rRNA from 1 species
GAUGAACGCUGGCGGCGUGCCUAAUACAUGCAAGUCGAGCGAACAGACGAGGAGCUUGCUCCUCUGACGUUAGCGGCGGACGGGUGAGUAACGCGUGGAUAACCUACCUAUAAGACUGGGAUAACUUCGGGAAACCGGAGCUAAUACCGGAUAAUAUAUUGAACCGCAUGGUUCAAUAGUGAAGGACGGUUUUGCUGUCACUUAUAGAUGGAUCCGCGCCGCAUUAGCUAGUUGGUAAGGUAACGGCUUACCAAGGCAACGAUGCGUAGCCGACCUGAGAGGGUGAUCGGCCACACUGGAACUGAGACACGGUCCAGACUCCUACGGGAGGCAGCAGUAGGGAAUCUUCCGCAAUGGGCGAAAGCCUGACGGAGCAACGCCGCGUGAGUGAUGAAGGUCUUCGGAUCGUAAAACUCUGUUAUUAGGGAAGAACAAAUGUGUAAGUAACUAUGCACGUCUUGACGGUACCUAAUCAGAAAGCCACGGCUAACUACGUG